CUCUCAGUUGAUACUUUCCCUCUGUACUAGCGGCACUAGUAGCGUGCAGAAGAGUAGCAUCGGGUUGCUUGACCGUCGCUAGUAUCGUAGUUUUCAGUGUUAUUACUGUGUUAUCCUUAAUCGAGGGAUCAUCAUCCGAAACGCGCGACGACUGUCAGUUCAACUGCAAAACAAAUCUAAAUUCGAUUGGCGCUUUUCCAAAAGCAUCACCAUUACCGUCUUCAAAAUGGACACGGAUCGACCGCCUAGCAUAAAAAGCGAGGAAGCAAGCAACGACGCACCGGAAGCCGAUCCAAGUAACCAUGGGCUUGCUAGGUUCAAAAACCUCAUCGAAAAAAGUCAUGUCCUGGUGCCAAAAAAGGCGAUCCGAUAAUGAGACGAUAAUUCAUCAUGCCACAUUUUCUGGCUCGCGGAUGCCUCCAGCGGAAAAUGUUCUGGAAGUGUUGGCUCAGAAAAUUGGGUGGACGGUGGUGAACAGGUAAGUUUUUUUUUCUGCCGUCACACCGCCAAAAACCGUAAAAUGUGACCCGAUAAUGCCGCUUCAUUGAUGACGGACGAAUGUCGACGCCGGUGCUGAGGGAACGCACCGAUUUUGGCUGGACCUUGCCUUUGCCGCAUCGGAAAGUAUCGGAAAAUGUGCUGAGAUGACCUCAACCGGAGCGCCGUGUCGUUGGUUGAUAAAUGGUUUGCAAUGUGUCAAAGUGAGUGAUUGAGGUGACACGCCAUGCGACGACGACGACGAAGACGACGGGGUAAGGUAAAAGUUUACUUGAGUAUAAAAUUGUAAUGAAGAAUCCAACUGGAGAAGGUUUGGGUUGGUUUUGAUGAAUGGUUGUGUCUUACUUUGUGCUACAAUUGCUUGCAUCUGAAAUAGUUACAAUGAACUAUAUAACACUGUAAAUAGUUUACAAAAGUUAAAAUCCAAGUUAAUUUUCUAUAUUUAGCAAAUGUUUCCUUCACAGUCUAGCUAUAAUGAUAUUAAUUGAUUUUGACUUUUUAACAGAUUAGUGUAAUAAAACUAUUGAAAUAUGUA